UAACGCGUGGGUAACCUGCCUCAUACAGGGGGAUAACAGUUAGAAAUGACUGCUAAUACCGCAUAAGCGCACAGUGCUGCAUGGCACAGUGUGAAAAACUCCGGUGGUAUGAGAUGGACCCGCGUCUGAUUAGCUAGUUGGUGGGGUAACGGCCUACCAAGGCGACGAUCAGUAGCCGGCCUGAGAGGGUGAACGGCCACAUUGGGACUGAGACACGGCCCAA
rnacentral:rRNA from 1 species